UACGAGUAGUGCGAGUGUUAUUCCCCGUGACUGGGCGUAAAGGGUGUGUAGGCUGUGUAGCAAGUUUUAGGUAAAAAGCAUAGAAAUAGAGGAGCGUAUCAUACUGUUACACUAGAGUCUAUCGGGAGAAAGGGGAACUUCUUGCAACAGAAUUAAAAAUGCGUUUAAACAAGAAGGAACGACGAAAGCGAAAAGCAUCUUUCUAUGGUAAACUGACGCUGAGACACGAAGGCAUGGGGAGCAAACAGG
rnacentral:rRNA from 1 species